rnacentral:rRNA from 1 species
CCUACGGGCGGCAGCAGUGAGGAAUAUUGGUCAAUGGGCGCGAGCCUGAACCAGCCAAGUAGCGUGAAGGAUGACUGCCCUACGGGUUGUAAACUUCUUUUAUAAAGGAAUAAAGUGAGGCACGUGUGCCUUUUUGUAUGUACUUUAUGAAUAAGGAUCGGCUAACUCCGUGCCAGCAGCCGCGGUAAUACGGAGGAUCCGAGCGUUAUCCGGAUUUAUUGGGUUUAAAGGGAGCGUAGGUGGGUUGUUAAGUCAGUUGUGAAAGUUUGCGGCUCAACCGUAAAAUUGCAGUUGAUACUGGCAGUCUGGAGUACAGUAGAGGUAGGCGGAAUGCGUGGUGUAGCGGUGAAAUGCUUAGAUAUCACGAAGAACUCCGAUUGCGAAGGCAGCUGACUGGACUGCAACUGACGUUGAGGCUCGAAAGUGUGGGUAGCAAACAGGAUUAGAUACCCCGGUAGUC